AUUGUAAUGGUUAUGUAGUAUAUUUAGUAAUUGAGAACAUUAAUCAGUAACAAAAUAUUCUUCAAAUCAGGGGGGGCAACUCAGAUGAGGCAGGUGAAGCAGUACUGGAGGAAUCUGAGAGUCAUAAGGGAGGACGAAGGUUUUGACAGCAGCAUAUUCGGAUUAUAAAGAGGAAAUUUCUUCAGCAUUAAGUACUUUGUAGUACCCUAAAUCCUUUUCGGGACCGCCUUCGCCGAGCAACAGUAAAUCCACCCCAUUCGGUUGUUUGCACGGGUCCGACAAUGAGAACGAUUCCAUCUAUUUCGAAGAAGUGGAGGAGCUGAGGGGAAAAUAAAACAACAGCGAAACCAUGAGAUUGCCAUCAGAUUAGAACGUCUUUUAUACUUUGUGUUUCUUCCAUUAUUAUUUUACAUUUGAUAGAGUAGAACUGAUGUACAAAUUUGUUGAUCUCAUAUGUUAUCACAAUAUUGUCAACAAUCACAUUAUUUUAUGUAUAUUCUAAAAUAUUAAUCAUAUGUAUUAUAUUGUAAUCCUGAAAUUUCAUAUUUUGUUAAAAGAUAG